UCCCAGACGUCGCGCACCAUUCUGGUUUUCAUUAAAAAUAAUUAAAGCAUUUUAUUUUAUUAUAUUUUUUCUGCAAGUUUUAUUGUAGAGGGUGCUCAAUUUGAGCCUUUGUUACGAUUAAUUUUAAUAAAGUGUUUUUGAAAUCAAUAAGGGUGUAUUCUUGUAAAAAAACCAGGAUGGUGCACAACUUCUGGGACACCCUGUAUAUAUUAUGUACGUGUAUUUCUCUA